AUGAGUCUUGUCCUUUCUAUCCGCGUCCAUCCUUCUUGGCCUUUUCAAUGGAGGAUACCUCUUUUCUCACAUUUUUCGACACACAUGUCACUCAUUUUGAGUCCUUGUCCACCCAUCCCACUGGUCCUGCUCAUCUAUUUGAUGUCGCUAGCUCCUAUGGUUUCCUCACCUCAUUUGUCACAUGACUUUACACCUUCAUUUCCAGUGACUUACUCAUAUCCAUCACUUGAGUCUAUUCUGGUGAUUCCUCCUUGUAUUCUUCCAUCUUUUCCUCACUAUUAUACUCAUCCUCCAUGUGUUGUGCAUGAGUCUACUAACGAGCCAUCUACUUCUUAUGUGCCAUCUUCCUUUCAACCUACUUAUGGUUUUCGUGCUCGUCCUCGGCCUACUAUUGACCUCUCUGGUCUUUCUGGCAAUAUCGUUCUUGGGACGACUUCUUAUCAUGAUGUUGUUGCUCAUCCUGAAUGGCAACAUGUGAUGUCCGAGAAGAUUCCUACUCUUGAGCGCAUCGACACAUGGGAUCUUGUUUCCCUUCCUUCUUAUGUUUGUCCCAUCACUUGCAAGUGGGUCUACAAGGUAAAGAGACACUCGAUAGUUCUCUUGAGCGAUAUAAAGCUCGUCUUGUGUCUCGUGGAUUUCAAUAGGAUCAUGGUCGUGAUUAUGAUGAGACAUUGCUCAUGUGGACCACAUGACCAUUGUUUGCACACUUCUCAGUUUGAUGUUAAGAAUGCCUUUCUUAAUGGUGAGUUGUGUGAGGAGGUUUACAUGCAGCCAUCACUAGAGUAUUAUGUUCCUGAUGGCAUGGUAUGUGGUCUUUGUCACUCUUUCUAUGACCCUAAGCAAGCCCCUCGUGUGUGGCUUGUGCAUUUUGCCUCUAUGGUGAUUGCGGCUAGUUUCGGUGAGUGCUCACGAUCCUGCGCUUUUUUUCUACCACUUCACUCAUGA
rnacentral:rRNA from 1 species